rnacentral:rRNA from 1 species
AUUGAACGCUGGCGGCAGGCCUAACACAUGCAAGUCGAGCGGAGCUGCGGACGGGUGAGUAAUGCCUAGGAAUCUGCCUGGUAGUGGGGGAUAACGUCCGGAAACGGGCGCUAAUCCCGCAUACUAUCAGAUGAGCCUAGGUCGGAUUAGCUCGUUGGUGGGGUAAAGGCCUACCAAGGCGACGAUCCGUAACUGGUCUGAGAGGAUGAUCAGUCAGACUGGAAAGGAGACACGGUCCAGAAUCUGACGGGAGGCAGAAGUGGGGAAUAUGGGAAAAUGGGAGAAAGCGUGAUCCAGACAUGCAGCGUGUGUGAAGAAGGUAUUCGGAUUGUAAAGAAAUGGAAGUUGGGAGGCGUUACCAACAGAAUAAGCACCGGCUAACUUCGUGCCAGCAGCCGCGGUAAUUC